AUUAUUUUUGUCUUGGCUCACGUAGUCCCAAUGUUACAAUUACCCGCUGACCUCAAACACUUACUUUUAAAAUUACCCCUCUUCAGCAAACCCUCUGUCUAGUGGGUUGGGUGGUUUUUUAUUUUUUAUGUCUAAAUGGUUAAAUAGUGGGUGUGGUUGAGGAGAGAGACAAAAAGAAAGCUUGCAGAGCAGGCAGGAGGGGGAAGGCUGUGAGGGUCUUAGCAUGGAGAAGCCCACACGCUCCAUAGAGGAGGCACAAGGCUUCCUCUCCUUCCUCAGUAACAUCUUCUUCUGCAGGGUCAGGUUUCUUCAGUGGCAAACAUCAUUUCAUAAUGGUUUCUGUUCCUCAUAGGUGUGCGUUGAGACUAAUUCUUGCAGCCGUGGCAUAACCCAGAUAAUCAAAGCAGCAUCCUUUGGAUGCAGGGUGAAAGUUAGGAGUUGUCUGUAAACUGAUGUUGAACAUAAUGAAAAAAAAACCAGGCCAGCAACUCCAAAGCACUCAAAGCCUGAAGACAAACACAGGUGGGGAGAGGCAGCCAUGACUGCAAAGGUGUGUUCACCAUGCAGGAGAGAUGUCAGUCAUCCAUGGCUCAGUGUUCCAUUAAAUUGUCUGCAAAGCUUCUCAGAAUGUACAGAAAUCUCUUCAGGAGGGAGAGAGGACCAUCUUGUUCAGGGAUGGAGAACACAAGGGAAUGCGACACCAGUCUAUUGUAGUGAUGGAAAAAAAGGGGAAGCUGCUGAUAGGAGAAUGCACAAUUCCUCACAACCAGAGCACUCACGAAGCUCCUUCAGGUUACUGUGUGCUAGGGCUUUCCCUCCAUACUCUUACUGGUCUCAAAGCCCAGCUGAACUGACUUAAGUCUCAUUGGAACCACUGUGAAAGAUAAGGCACCAAGCAGCAUGAAGAGCUUCAGCUGGGCUGGUUUUGAAAGCCAGUCUUCAACGAAAUUCUGUCACCUGUAAGGCCAGCAGCUUAUUAGGGUCACACAUCACCAACAAAAAGCAGAAGUCGGUGCUGGUGGAGGAAGCCUACCAGCAGUGUCCCGAGCUGCAGGUGUUUCUAAUGGGAGCUGCUGCUCAGGGUGUGUUCUGCUCUGUGCUAUUGAGGAGCUGGGUAAGGCUGAGAGGCAGAAGGUGGAUCUGGAUGCUGUUGGACUGGAAUGAUCUCAGAUAUUUUUUUUGUGAGUGUUGCUGAGGAGCUGCCAGCUGCAAUGGCCACGUCUCACUGCAGAUAAACAGACUUUUGCUUUGGGCAAAAGGCUCGUUCAGGAUCAGAGGAGCUGCACAAGCACACUGGGACAUUGUGAGAACAAACGGACCUAACACCCUCCCAGACUGAAUGGCAUUUUUAUGCUGCUUAUCGCGCUGACCUAAUUCAAACUUCUGGACAGUCAAGUUUGGAAUGAGCUGCCUGAGAGCAAACCAGCUCAAGGCCUUGGAUUCUGUUCUUGCUGUGCCACUUACAGUUUCACCCAUAUGUUUUCAGAGCAGCAGCAUUUUUCUCCUGCAAGAGUGGGGCUGGGAGUCUCAGGCUGAAACAUGGGAAGUGUGGUCUGGACUGAGACCCCUGGGAGCAGGAAAGUCCUGCAGUGUGAAUAGGCAAAUUAAUUCUCUUAGGGCAGGGCGCCAUUUACCAGCACAAAGUUUUUGAGUGCUGGCUAAAUUAUUUGUUCAACAUCCUAAAAAUGAAAACCCUUUGGCUGAAGCCUUUGUAGGUGUUUUAAGAGUGGUGAAAUUGAGACUAAUGUUUGGGAGGAACUCAGGCAAGAGAAAAACAAACUGUAGAGGAUAAUUUUUAGGAAAAAUGAAAAGUUUUCAAUGCAGACAUGAUGUGCCAAAGCUGUGCUACAGCAGGAGCUCUGACAGGAAUUGUGGAUAUCUUCUCUCUCAGUGUGGGAAUAUCCUCCAAGGGAUCUCCACCAAAGCCCUGUUUUUAGCUCAUUGCAAGUCACUAAAGCUCUGCUGCUCUUCAUUGAUGGCUUCUGCUCCAGAGCUGUGAAUCAAGGUGCCUGCUCAUGCCGUUUACAUUGGCAGCUAUGGAUGUCGUGCUGGUGGACACAGGGUGGGGCUGAGUGUGCCUGGGCCCUUCUCGCACUGCUUCUCCCUGUCCUCUAGAGGCUGGCAUGGAUGAACAGGACAGCCUUGGAAAAUAUUAGCGUCUCACAGUGAGUGCUGGUUCUAAGAUGUGCCCAAAGGAAGCCAGCCUGUGCUCAGGGGAAUGACCAAGCAGCUGGGUGAAAUUCUCUGGGCUCUGUGUUCGGAGCAAAGCAGGAAACUCUGAGUUCACCUGAGUACACUCCAUCUUAGCCCACUCUGUCCACUUCUAAUGAUGAUUGUAUAAAAAAUAAACAUCCUUGUAAACAAUUUUGUUCCUCCAUAUGCUACUCUGGGUGUUAACAAAGCAGCCAUGCAGGCUAAGCCAGGCUGGUUCUGCUGAGCGUGGUGCUACUAUGGAGUCCUUGCUGGCAUUCAUCACAGAGCGUCUCAACCUCGCUUUAACCCACCAUUGCUCCAUCUGUGCAUCUUGGUGCAUUUGCCAGCCACGCAUCGUGUGGUUCAAUGUGAUCUCUGAGAUUUUCCACACGGGCCAGUAGGUAUUGGAGUCUGAGUUAUUUUCAGCCUGUCUGCGACAUCCAAUUCCACCCACGCGGCCUGUGUGGCUAUAUAAAUGGUGGAGGUGUUUGGAAUAACAGGCCCGGAGGAAACAUCUGUCAGCUCCGAAGGCUUGUGAGCGCAGCACGAGGCGUUCAGCUUGCCGUCUUACUGCGCCUUCCUCUGACUGUAAGGAAGCGGAGCAGCACGAGGCUCUGUCACAUGGCCUGACCGCCUCAGCACUCAGGUUUUCAAAUUGCCUUCGUCAUUCAUUUGGCCCGUGGAGGUAAAGCCUGCCCAGAAAUCAGGAUGGCACCUUAACCUUUAUCCUCUGAAGGGCUGUUUCUCUUCCUUCUCUUUUUGUAUUUUCACUGCAAAACGGCAUCUCUUCAUUUUACCACAGAGCUAGCU